GCCAGACUCCUACGGGAGGCAGCGGUGAGGAAUAUUGGUCAAUGGCCGAAGGGCUGAACCAGCCAAGCCGCGUGAAGGAAUAAGGCCCUACGGGUCGUAAACUUCUUUAGUCAGGGAACAAAGGGAGCCACGCGUGGCGCUGUGAGUGUACCUGAAGAAUAAGCAUCGGCUAACUCCGUGCCAGCAGCCGCGGUAAUACGGAGGAUGCGAGCGUUAUCCGGAUUUAUUGGGUUUAAAGGGUGCGUAGGCGGUUUGUCAAGUCAGCGUUAAAAUUGAGGGGCUCAACCCCUCCGAGCCGUUGAAACUGGUUUUCUUGAGUGAGCGAGAAGUAUGCGGAAUGCGUGGUGUAGCGGUGAAAUGCAUAGAUAUCACGCAGAACUCCGAUUGCGAAGGCAGCAUACCGGCGCUCAACUGACGCUCAUGCACGAAAGUGUGGGUAUCGAACAGGAUUAGAUACCCCGGUAA
rnacentral:rRNA from 1 species